CUAAAGAACAAGAGGAGCAGAUGCUUGCAGCCUUCUAAGGUGGGAUGGUGUUACACUGUAGGUCAUGGCUGUCUCAACUGUGACAUGCUGCGACAGUGCCAGGCAGUUUUCUUUCUGCUAACAAUGGCAUCACAAAUGUCUGAAGGGACACUAGGAUCUAUCAAAGUUUGCCACAACCAGCUGUGAGUGACUUUCAGGCAUUUGUGCAGAAGGCAUCACCUGGACAGUGUGUAAGUGAACAACAUUCUACUCUGGAGGCACCUGUGUCAAGCCUUCUCCUGAAAAGUUCCCUUGCUGAAGUGUCGGGAGUUCCCAUGCUAAGUGUUGUCAGACUUAACUUUUGGCUGGGACACACCAAGCUUUUAAAGGGUUUGGCAAAUAUGACAUCAAAUACAUGGGGCCACACUGGUUGACCUGGAGUUGGCAAGAAGUAAAGCAGCUUUUGGUGAAUGGUUUCCACAGCAAACUCCAUAGUUGUUCUUCCAUGGAUACUCACUUGGUUUGUAUCUUCUGGCAUUAGGAAAACAAAAUGUCUCUUCUGGAUUUCAUGGUCCAAAAAAUGUGUUUCCAACACAUCAAGUUAGUCAAUUGCAUUUUUAUAUAUUAAAGACACCAUUACUGGAAGAACCCUAGGUGAGAAACAGAGAAAGAUCUCCAAGGGUACUUUUUAAAAAGUUUUUGUUGUAUCAGGGCAUAUGUUAAUUCCUGAUAUACAUAUUGAAAUGAGAGGUAACACAAUGAAAUUACAUGUUAGGCUUAGAUUGAAAUAGUGGCACUUUCUUUGGUAUCAUUAAUUUAAAAUGCUGAUGUAAAACUUAACUUGACUAACAAAAAUUAGAUUUAUCAGGAAUUUUAACUGUUGCCAGGCCUAAUGCAGCUUUUUUCUCAUUCCAAUUGUUUCUAUUUAUCUGCACUUUGUUAAAGGAAAUUUUGGGACA